GUGUCAGCCGCCGCGGUAAUACGAAGGGGGCUAGCGUUACUCGGAAUUACUGGGCGUAAAGGGCGCGUAGGCGGCUCUGUUAGUCAGGCGUGAAAUUCCUGGGCUUAACCUGGGGACUGCGCUUGAUACUGCGGAGCUUGAGGCCGAGAGAGGGUGGUGGAAUUCCCAGUGUAGAGGUGAAAUUCGUAGAUAUUGGGAAGAACACCGGUGGCGAAGGCGACCACCUGGCUCGGUACUGACGCUGAGGCGCGACAGCGUGGGGAGCAAACAGGAUUAGAUACCCUGGUAGUCCACGCCGUAAACGAUGUGUGCUGGAUGUUGGGGUCCCUAGGAUCUCAGUGUCGUAGCCAACGCGGUAAGCACACCGCCUGGGGAGUACGGCCGCAAGGUUGAA
rnacentral:rRNA from 1 species